rnacentral:rRNA from 1 species
UACAGAGGUCUCAAGCGUUGUUCGGAUUCAUUGGGCGUAAAGGGUGCGUAGGUGGCGGGGUAAGUCAGAUGUGAAAUCUCGGAGCUCAACUCCGAAACUGCAUUUGAUACUGCCUUGCUUGAGUACUGGAGAGGAGAUUGGAAUUUACGGUGUAGCAGUGAAAUGCGUAGAUAUCGUAAGGAAGACCAGUGGCGAAGGCGAAUCUCUGGACAGUUACUGACGCUGAGGCACGAAGGCCAGGGGAGCAAACGGG